rnacentral:rRNA from 1 species
UGAGGAAUAUUGGUCAAUGGGCGAGAGCCUGAACCAGCCAAGUAGCGUGCAGGACGACGGCCCUAUGGGUUGUAAACUGCUUUUAUAAGGGAAUAAAGUGGGUCACGUGUGACUUUUUGCAUGUACCUUAUGAAUAAGGACCGGCUAAUUCCGUGCCAGCAGCCGCGGUAAUACGGAAGGUCCGGGCGUUAUCCGGAUUUAUUGGGUUUAAAGGGUGCGCAGGCGGACUCGUCAAGUCAGCGGUAAAAUUCGGGGCUCAACCCCGUCCUGCCGUUGAAACUGCGAGACUGGAGUGCGACAGAGGAAGGCGGAAUGCGAGGUGUAGCGGUGAAAUGCAUAGAUAUCGCGCAGAACUCCGAUUGCGAAGGCAGCUUUCCAUGUCGUGACUGACGCUGAGGCACGAAAGCGUGGGGAUCGAACAGGAUUAGAUACCCUGGUAGU